rnacentral:snRNA from 1 species
GUGCUUGCUUCAGCAGCACAUAUACUAAAAUUGGAAUGAUACAGAGAAGAUUAGCAUGGCCCCUGUUCAAGGAUGACAUGCAAAUUCGUGAAGCAUUCCAUAUUUGU